rnacentral:rRNA from 1 species
UACGGGGGGGGGCAAGCGUUGUUCGGAAUUACUGGGCGUAAAGGGCUCGUAGGUGGCCAACUAAGUCAGACGUGAAAUCCCUCAGCUUAACUGGGGAACUGCGUCUGAUACUGGAUGGCUUGAGUUUGGGAGAGGGAUGCGGAAUUCCAGGUGUAGCGGUGAAAUGCGUAGAUAUCUGGAGGAACACCGGUGGCGAAGGCGGCAUCCUGGACCGGCAUUGACGCUGAGGCGCGAAAGCCAGGGGAGCAAACGGG